CGGGUGCACUGAUCCAGCCGGGCCUUUCCCUCUGUGGAACCCCAUGGCCUUCACUGGCUGUGGUGGGGAAACAGGACUUUUACUUUGAAAAAAUUAGAGUGCUCCAGGCAGGCCUAUGCUCGAAUACAUUAGCAUGGAAUAAUAGAAUAGGACGUGUGGUUCUAUUUUGUUGGUUUCUAGGACCGCCGUAAUGAUUAAUAGGGACAGUCGGGGGCAUCAGUAUUCAAUUGUCAGAGGUGAAAUUCUUGGAUCUAUUGAAGACUAACUACUGCGAAAGCAUUUGCCAAGGAUGUUUUCAUUGAUAAGGAACGAAAGUUAGGGGAUCGAAGACGAUCAGAUACCGUCGUAGUCUUAACUAUAAACUAUGCCGACUAGGGAUCGGACGAUGUUAUUCUUUGACGCGUUCGGCACCUUUCGAGAAAUCAAAGUGCUUGGGCUCCAGGGGGAGUAUGGUCGCAAGGCUGAAACUUAAAGAAAUUGACGGAAGGGCACCACCAGGGGUGGAACCUGCGGCUUAAUUUGACUCAACACGGGGAAACUCACCAGGUCCAGACACAGUGAGGAUUGACAGAUUGAGAGCUCUUUCUUGAUUCUGUGGGUGGUGGUGCAUGGCCGUUCUUAGUUGGUGGAGUGAUUUGUCUGCUUAAUUGCGAUAACGAACGAGACCUUAACCUGCUAAAUAGCCCGUACUGCUUUGGCAGUUCGCCGGCUUCUUAGAGGGACUAUCGGG
rnacentral:rRNA from 1 species